GCCAGUUUCAUUUGACUGUUGACAGACCGUGAAAAAAUUGAUGCAAAUUUUUAAGGUUUAAUUAUUAUUGAAAUUAAAGGAUAUAUUCAAUAUAUUUACUACAUUUCUCCCCGUACGAUAAAACUUCGAAGCUCUCAUCACAGUUGAACUUUUUUCCAUAAUCGGAAAGUUAGGUUAUUAUUGAAUUCUGAGAUAUAAAACACAGUUCUUGGACGUGAAUCUGUAUGAGAGAUCGGAUAUUAUAACUGAUAGUAUAUUUUGUCACUAAUAAUACUUAUUUUUUUCAGGCACCUAUCAAUUUAUCAGAUACAGAAAUGAAAAAAUCCUAGGAUGGCAAUUAUCAUCCCUCGGAGAGACUGUAUUAGGAAUAAGAAACCUUCUUCAGGGGUAAAGUCCUGAAGCAGUUCGUUCAGGAGAGCUUCUAUUUGAAAUAUAUGAUCUAUUUUUCAAGUUUACAUAAUGUAUUUCAUAUUAAAUUACAUACAAACUCAUAGAAUGACAAAUAUGUUUACUUGGUGUAUAAAUAUGAGAAUUUAUAGAUAACAACCUGUUCUUGGGGGCACACAUGAAUUUGUCAGAUCAUGAAAUGUAAAGCAAUGUCAAAAAAGCAUGUAUUGGUGAGAGUUUAUUGAAAUAAGAAAGGUUCUUCAUGGAUAAGCUUCUAGAGCAAUUCGUUCAGGAGAGUUUUUAUUUGAAGUAUAUAAACAUGAGAUUUUAUACAUAGCACACAGUUCUGGGGGGCUAAGUCUUUAUAGAAGAUCAACCAGGAGGUUCUAUAUUUCAUAAGUAAUAUUCAUUUUCUGAUACUGCUCAAUUUUGUUUCGAAAGAAUUUUCUCAAUGGGAAAAAACUGGAACAACGCCUGAUUUCAAGGAACACUGUUAGACAUAUAUGUUAUGUGAUAAUCUCUAUCGUAUAUUAUUGAAAUAGGAAAAUCAUUUUAUAUUUUUGAUCAAUAUAUUUUCACUGGCUA